rnacentral:rRNA from 1 species
AACGUAGGAGACAAACGUUAUCCGGGGUUACUGGGCGUAAAGGGCGUGUAGGUGGUUCUGUAAGUCUGGCGUGAAAUUUCUCGGCUUAACCGAGGCAGGUCGUCGGAUACUGCAGGGCUAGAGGACGGUAGAGGCGUGUGGAAUUCCGGGUGUAGUGGUGAAAUGCGUAGAGAUCCGGAGGAACACCAGUGGCGAAGGCGACACGCUGGGCCGUACCUGACACUGAUGCGCGACAGCAUGGGGAGCAAACAGG